UACGGAAGGCAGCAGUGGGGAAUAUUGCACAAUGGGCGCAAGCCUGAUGCAGCCAUGCCGCGUGUAUGAAGAAGGGCCUUCGGGUUGUAAAGUACUUUCAGUCGUGAGGAAGGUGUUAAGGUUAAUAACCUUAGCAAUUGACGUUAGCGACAGAAGAAGCACCGGCUAACUCCGUGCCAGCAGCCGCGGUAAUACGGAGGGUGCGAGCGUUAAUCGGAAUUACUGGGCGUAAAGGGCACGCAGGCGGUUAAUUAAGUUGGAUGUGAAAUCCCCGGGCUUAACCUGGGAAUGGCAUUCAAGACUGGUUAGCUAGAGUCUUGUAGAGGGGGUAGAAUUCCGAUGUGUAGCGGUGAAAUGCGUAGAGAUGUGGAGGAAUACCGGUGGCGAAGGCGGCCCCUGGGACAAAGACUGACGCUCAUGUGCGAAAGCGUGGGGAGCAAACAGGAUUAGAUACC
rnacentral:rRNA from 1 species